CUCAUUUUCUUAAUAGAGUCUUUCUCUGAACAAAGGUAUUCAUUUUGAUGAAGCCGAAUUUAGGAAGUUUAAAGAAUUUUUUCCCUUUUAUGGACUGUGAUUUUAAUCAAGCUUAAGAACUCUUUGCUUAGCCCUGGAUUCCAAAGAUUUUCUGUUUUGUUUUGGUUUUUUUUAUUCUAAAGUUUUUAUAGUUUUAUGUUUGAAGUCUGUGACGCAUCUUGUGUUCAUUCUUGUAAAGUGUGGGAGGUUCUUAGGGCUGGACCUGGGCACACAUUUCAUUGGCUAGGACCCAGUCACAUGGCUGCAACGUGGGAGCCCUGCUGGCUGCAAGGGCGGCUGGGACAGGAUUCCAGGAGCAAGAGCAGCGGGAAGAGAGACACAGUUUGGGAUGACUGCCUGGACAACAAUGAUUUCCUCGGUCCCUCUUUUGAAAGGCUCCUGCUUGCACUGCGUUGCUCAAGUUUGUUUCUGAGACAAGAGUUGCUGACUCCAAAUCUGCAACAUAACUGAUAAGGAAGAAAGAACAGCUCGUUUUAAUGCAGUUCAUGUCAUCUAUGUAACCUUGGUGUCUCCAUAAAAUUCUUCCUGAUAUUUAAAAGAGUUGAUAGCUGAGAUAAGAUUUUUUAAAUAUCAGUAUUAACAAAACCCAGGCCUCAAUGAAGCAUAAUCCAAUGGAAAUUAUAUGCAAAGCAACAGCCCCACCAGGGUUCACAAGCCACAGCUGAAAUGUUAUUAUUGUGCAAUGAAAAUCUACAGCUUCCUCACUAUGGAAUCAGGACAUAAACUUUAACAAAGUCACACUCUGCUUUUCUUCAACCCCAAGGACAGCCUAAUCAGACCACAGUACAUAAGAACUCUCUUUUCUUUCCUUUGUUUUAUUUUACUUUCUUCUCUCUUAUGAAAAUAAAACUUUAAACUCAAAAUUGACA
rnacentral:lncRNA from 1 species